UUGCCUGUUUUUCAAAAACAUGUCUGUUUGAAGAUAUAAAAAGUCUAGCCUGCCCACUGAUGUAAAUUUUAAGGGCCGCGGUAUUUCUGACUGUGCAAAGGUAGCAUAAUCGUUAGUUUUUUAAUUGGAAUCUUGUAUGAAUGGUUUGACAAAAAAAAAUCUGUCUUUAUGAUUAUUUAUUGAAUUUAACUUUUAAGUGAAAAGGCUUAAAUUAGUUAAAAAGACGAUAAGACCCUAUAAAGCUUAAUAUUAAUUUUUUGUUUGAUAAAAUUUUUAUAAAUAAAUAUUUAAUGAACAAUUAUUAUUUUAUUGGGGCGAUAAUGGUAAAAUUAUUAUUAACUGUUAAUUAUUUAAAAACAAAUAUAAGUGGAUAUAAAAAUAUUUUAUAAAUAAAUGAUCCUAUAAUAAAGAUUAAGAGUUUAAGUUACUUUAGGGAUAACAGCGUUAUUUUUUUUGANNNNNNUUAUCGAGAAAAAAGUUUGCGACCUCGAUNNNNNNNNNNNNNAUCUAUAUAAUUGUAGUAGUUAUAUAAGAAGGUCUGUUCGACC
rnacentral:rRNA from 1 species